UGUUAAAAGUUUCAUCCAUUUGUAUUGUUAAAACCUGACAUGGUUGACGGAAUACUUAGACAAUAACACAUGGAGUGCCAUGUUCACCUCAUGUUGAUGUACAAUGACUAGUUUUAACAGUAAAAAUUGAUGAAAUUUUUAACA
rfam:Gossypium raimondii Chr11_contig_68, whole genome shotgun sequence.